rnacentral:rRNA from 1 species
CUGGAGGUAUCAGAAGUGCGAAUGCUGACAUAAGUAACGAUAAAGCGGGUGAAAAGCCCGCUCGCCGGAAGACCAAGGGUUCCUGUCCAACGUUAAUCGGGGCAGGGUGAGUCGACCCCUAAGGCGAGGCCGAAAGGCGUAGUCGAUGGGAAACGGGUUAAUAUUCCCGUACUUGGUGUUACUGCGAAGGGGGGACGGAGAAGGCUAUGUUGGCCGGGCGACGGUUGUCCCGGUUUAAGCGUGUAGGUGUGUGUUCCAGGUAAAUCCGGUUCACUUUAACACUGAGGCGUGACGACGAGGCACUACGGUGCUGAAGCAACAAAUGCCCUGCUUCCAGGAAAAGCCUCUAAGCAUCAGGUAACAUCAAAUCGUACCCCAAACCGACACAGGUGGUCAGGUAGAGAAUACCAAGGCGCUUGAGAGAACUCGGGUGAAGGAACUAGGCAAAAUGGUGCCGUAACUUCGGGAGAAGGCACGCUGACAUGUAGGUGAAGUGAUUUACUCAUGGAGCUGAAGUCAGUCGAAGAUACCAGCUGGCUGCAACUGUUUAUUAAAAACACAGCACUGUGCAAACACGAAAGUGGACGUAUACGGUGUGACGCCUGCCCGGUGCCGGAAGGUUAAUUGAUGGGGUCAGCGCAAGCGAAGCUCCUGAUCGAAGCCCCGGUAAACGGCGGCCGUAACUAUAACGGUCCUAAGGUAGCGAAAUUCCUUGUCGGGUAAGUUCCGACCUGCACGAAUGGCGUAAUGAUGGCCAGGCUGUCUCCACCCGAGACUCAGUGAAAUUGAACUCGCUGUGAAGAUGCAGUGUACCCGCGGCAAGACGGAAAGACCCCGUGAACCUUUACUAUAGCUUGACACUGAACAUUGAGCCUUGAUGUGUAGGAUAGGUGGGAGGCUUUGAAGUGUGGACGCCAGUCUGCAUGGAGCCGACCUUGAAAUACCACCCUUUAAUGUUUGAUGUUCUAACGUGGACCCGUAAUCCGGGUUGCGGACAGUGUCUGGUGGGUAGUUUGACUGGGGCGGUCUCCUCCUAAAGAGUAACGGAGGAGCACGAAGGUUGGCUAAUCCUGGUCGGACAUCAGGAGGUUAGUGCAAUGGCAUAAGCCAGCUUGACUGCGAGCGUGACGGCGCGAGCAGGUGCGAAAGCAGGUCAUAGUGAUCCGGUGGUUCUGAAUGGAAGGGCCAUCGCUCAACGGAUAAAAGGUACUCCGGGGAUAACAGGCUGAUACCGCCCAAGAGUUCAUAUCGACGGCGGUGUUUGGCACCUCGAUGUCGGCUCAUCACAUCCUGGGGCUGAAGUAGGUCCCAAGGGUAUGGCUGUUCGCCAUUUAAAGUGGUACGCGAGCUGGGUUUAGAACGUCGUGAGACAGUUCGGUCCCUAUCUGCCGUGGGCGCUGGAGAACUGAGGGGGGCUGCUCCUAGUACGAGAGGACCGGAGUGGACGCAUCACUGGUGUUCGGGUUGUCAUGCCAAUGGCACUGCCCGGUAGCUAAA